ensembl:snRNA U6 U6 spliceosomal RNA
GUGCUUGCUUCGGCAGCACAUGUGCUAAAAUUUGAAUGAUAUAAAGAAGGUUAGCAUGGUCCCUGUGCAAGGAUGACGUGCAAAUUCGUGAAGUGUUCUGUAUUUUU